rnacentral:tRNA from 1 species
GCUUGUCUAGCUCAGUUGGUAUAGUGCAAGGCUCUUAACCUUAAGGUCGUGUGUUCGAGCCCCACUAUGAGCG